rnacentral:lncRNA from 1 species
CUGACCAGCAUUGAGGCAAGCAGAGAUUCCUAGGCUGAGAGAGAAGAUACAAAUUAUGUUGGGAAAAAUCUACACUAUAGAGCCAUUGUUCUAUAAGAUGUGC